rnacentral:rRNA from 1 species
CCUACGGGCGGCAGCAGUGGGGAAUAUUGGGCAAUGGGCGCAAGCCUGACCCAGCAACGCUGCGUGAAGGAAGAAUGCUUUCGGGUUGUAAACUUCUUUUAUCAGGGACGAAGCAAGUGACGGUACCUGAUUUAUAAGCCACGGCUAACUACGUGCCAGCAGCCGCGGGAAUACGUGGGUGGCAAGCGUUAUCCGGAUUUACUGGGUGUAAAGGGCGUGGAGGCGGGAGUGCAAGUCAGGUGUGAAAACUAUGGGGUCAAACCAUAGCCUGCAUUUGAAACUGUACUGCUUGAGUGCUGGAGAGGCAAUCGGAAUUCCGUGUGUAGCGGUGAAAUGCGUAGAUAUACGGAGGAACACCAGUGGCGAAGGCGGAUUGCUGGACAGUAACUGACGCUGAGGCGCGAAAGCGUGGGGAGCAAACAGGAUUAGAUACCCGUGUAGUC